rnacentral:rRNA from 1 species
GAUGAACGCUGGCGGCGUGCCUAAUACAUGCAAGUCGAGCGAACGGACGAGAAGCUUGCUUCUCUGAUGUUAGCGGCGGCCGGGUGAGUAACACGUGGAUAACCUACCUAUAAGACUGGGAUAACUUCGGGAAACCGGAGCUAAUACCGGAUAAUAUUUUGAACCGCAUGGUUCAAAAGUAAAAGACGGUCUUGCUGUCACUUAUAGAUGGAUCCGCGCUGCAUUAGCUAGUUGGUAAGGUAACGGCUUACCAAGGCAACGAUGCAUAGCCGACCUGAGAGGGUGAUCGGCCACACUGGAACUGAGACACGGUCCAGACUCCUACGGGAGGCAGCAGUAGGGAAUCUUCCGCAAUGGGCGAAAGCCUGACGGAGCAACGCCGCGUGAGUGAUGAAGGUCUUCGGAUCGUAAAACUCUGUUAUUAGGGAAGAACAUAUGUGUAAGUAACUGUGCACAUCUUGACGGUACCUAAUCAGAAAGCCACGGCUAACUACGUGCCAGCAGCCGCGGUAAUACGUAGGUGGCAAGCGUUAUCCGGAAUUAUUGGGCGUAAAGCGCGCGUAGGCGGUUUUUUAAGUCUGAUGUGAAAGCCCACGGCUCAACCGUGGAGGGUCAUUGGAAACUGGAAAACUUGAGUGCAGAAGAGGAAAGUGGAAUUCCAUGUGUAGCGGUGAAAUGCGCAGAGAUAUGGAGGAACACCAGUGGCGAAGGCGACUUUCUGGUCUGUAACUGACGCUGAUGUGCGAAAGCGUGGGGAUCAAACAGGAUUAGAUACCCUGGUAGUCCACGCCGUAAACGAUGAGUGCUAAGUGUUAGGGGGUUUCCGCCCCUUAGUGCUGCAGCUAACGCAUUAAGCACUCCGCCUGGGGAGUACGACCGCAAGGUUGAAACUCAAAGGAAUUGACGGGGACCCGCACAAGCGGUGGAGCAUGUGGUUUAAUUCGAAGCAACGCGAAGAACCUUACCAAAUCUUGACAUCCUUUGACAACUCUAGAGAUAGAGCCUUCCCCUUCGGGGGACAAAGUGACAGGUGGUGCAUGGUUGUCGUCAGCUCGUGUCGUGAGAUGUUGGGUUAAGUCCCGCAACGAGCGCAACCCUUAAGCUUAGUUGCCAUCAUUAAGUUGGGCACUCUAAGUUGACUGCCGGUGACAAACCGGAGGAAGGUGGGGAUGACGUCAAAUCAUCAUGCCCCUUAUGAUUUGGGCUACACACGUGCUACAAUGGACAAUACAAAGGGCAGCGAAACCGCGAGGUCAAGCAAAUCCCAUAAAGUUGUUCUCAGUUCGGAUUGUAGUCUGCAACUCGACUACAUGAAGCUGGAAUCGCUAGUAAUCGUAGAUCAGCAUGCUACGGUGAAUACGUUCCCGGGUCU